UACAGAGGGGGCAAGCGUUGUUCGGAAUUACUGGGCGUAAAGGGCGCGUAGGCGGCCUUCUAAGUCGAACGUGAAAUCCCCGGGCUCAACCUGGGAAUGGCAAUGGAUACUGGCAGGCUAGAGUGUGUCAGAGGAUGGUGGAAUUCCCGGUGUAGCGGUGAAAUGCGUAGAGAUCGGGAGGGACAUCAGUGGCGAAGGCGGCCAUCUGGGACAACACUGACGCUGAGGCACGAAAGCGUGGGGAGCAAACAGG
rnacentral:rRNA from 1 species